GCCCUCGAAUGGCCUCCUGGGAGGGGCCAUCACUGCACAGCACACUGUCAGCCCUGGAGUCAGUAGCCAACAAUGCAUUUUCCUAUGGUUCUCUACUUUCCUGGCUUGGAGUGGUGUUUGAAGGGACCACUUGGAGGAAGUACUUGGAAAGCAGGCACGGUUGGUACCUCAUGCUGGAGAGACUUGCACAUUUCCCGGACUUUGUGCUUGUCCAUCUCCCACCGCUCCACAAAGAAAGUGUGAACCAAUUUUAUCCUGCAAACCAGAAACAGGAACUGAAUGGGCCUCUAACCAGACCUCUGAAACAGGAAGUAGGGCACAGUUCUUAUAGCCACCAGAGGGGAACUGCCCUAUAAACAGAGAACUCCCAAAAGGCUGGCUCCAGCCAAGGCCACUAGUGAGACAAGCCUGUGUUAUGCGCUUAUAUAAUGCACAGGCUUCACCCAGAGAUGGAACCAGCUCGAACUACCAACUGAUAAUGUCUCAAGCAGACAACAGCUGACCAAAUUAAGGAAAGAAACCAGAAUCCUGGCAGCCCAGGAAGCAGAGCCGGUCAUGACAACGUGCAGUUGAUGAUGUGGGGGUGAAAGGCUGAGUAAGCGAUUGCAAUCUGCAGUGAGCCAAGCUGAAAGGCCCGGGCGGAUGUGAAGGCUGGUGGUAAGGAAAUGGGAAGCAGGCAGCCAAGCUAACCCUGUGUCCACUGAAGGAGUGAGGUGGCCUUGAGCACAGAGCAUCCCUGGGUCUUACGUCGGCAGAAAGUAGAAAGGGAAGAAGCCUAAAGGAAGUGAAAGUGUUGCUGGAUCUCCUGCUGGCGUUGCCUCCUCCUUCACACAGCAUCCCAGUUCUCCCUGCAGCCACCUGAUCUUCCCUUUGUCCCCUUCCUCACCACAGCCCCACCACCUUCACCACUCCAAGCUUCUCCUACAUCUGGCCAAGAUGCUACUCAGAGCUGGAUGAAAGCAAAAGUCACUGCUCUAAUACAAGAAAAGUCCCGGUUUUAGGUUUCAGAAACAGAAUUUUCCCGAAUGUUUAAAAUGGUGAAUGGUUCCAUAAACUGUGUUAACCAGGCUUCUUACAGGCUAGUCCCAGAAUCUGACCACCAUGUGCAAUACUGUUUCUAAGAAAAGUGUGCUCCAAGCAAGAACCUUCAAACAUUUAACCUGAAUGAAUGAAUAUAACCUCUUCACGGUUCAGUGUUUUCAUAAGCAAAACAAGAGAAUAACAGCAUUGAUGUCUUUUAAAAAAAAUUUAGGGCUGGGCGCGGUGGCUCACGCCUGUAAUCCCAGCACUUUGGGAGGCCAAGGCAGGCAGAUCACUCCUGAGGUCAGGAGUUUGAGACCAGUCUGGCCAACAAGAUGAAACCCUGUCUCUACUAAUAAUACAAAAAAAUUAGCUGGAAUGUGGUGGCACAUGACUGUAAUCCCAGCUACUCAGGAGGCUGAGGCAGGAGAAUCACUUGAACCCAGGAAGCAGAGGUUGCAGUGAGCCGAGAUCGAGCCACUGCACUCCAGCCUGGGCGACAAGAGCAAAACUCCAUCUCAAAAAAAAAAAAAAAAAUUUGGAAAGCUUCCCAUUUGGGAUCUGUCCACCUACACAGGGCAACACGAUAGUAUUGACAUCUCUUAGCUUUUACGGAAUUUUCUGCCUACAAUGCAGAGGGCAAAGAAGGGGUAUUGUCAGCUUGGCUUUGCUGUCUCUGAGUGACAGUCUCUUGUAUACGUAAAUAAGAUGAAUUUUCAUAAAAGCAUUGACAGAGCAUUAGCUUCACCUCAGAAAGAAAAUGAAAAAGCAAAUGACAACUGUAGUCAAAGAAGAAAUUAAAAUAUAGUUAAAUAGUAAACAGAUCAAGAAAAAAUCAGUGAAAACCUUUAACUUGCAACCUAUUCUUUUUAAAGACAUCAGUACACAAAGAUUCGGAAAGUUUAUUAAAAAUGUUACCAAACUU